rnacentral:rRNA from 1 species
CCUACGGGAGGCAGCAGUGGGGAAUUUUGGACAAUGGGCGCAAGCCUGAUCCAGCAAUGCCGCGUGCAGGAUGAAGGCCUUCGGGUUGUAAACUGCUUUUGUACGGAACGAAACGGCCCUUUCUAAUACAAGGGGCUAAUGACGGUACCGUAAGAAUAAGCACCGGCUAACUACGUGCCAGCAGCCGCGGUAAUACGUAGGGUGCGAGCGUUAAUCGGAAUUACUGGGCGUAAAGCGUGCGCAGGCGGUUAUAUAAGACAGAUGUGAAAUCCCCGGGCUCAACCUGGGACCUGCAUUUGUGACUGUAUAGCUAGAGUACGGUAGAGGGGGAUGGAAUUCCGCGUGUAGCAGUGAAAUGCGUAGAUAUGCGGAGGAACACCGAUGGCGAAGGCAAUCCCCUGGACCUGUACUGACGCUCAUGCACGAAAGCGUGGGGAGCAAACAGGAUUAGAUACCCUGGUAGUCCACGCCCUAAACGAUGUCAACUGGUUGUUGGGUCUUCACUGACUCAGUAACGAAGCUAACGCGUGAAGUUGACCGCCUGGGGAUACGGCCGCAAGGUUGAAACUCAAAGGAUUGACGGNNGAGAGNGCGAGACGACGACGAGGGAGGAGG